rnacentral:rRNA from 1 species
AUUGAACGCUGGCGGCAUGCCUUACACAUGCAAGUCGAACGGCAGCGGGGGAGAAGCUUGCUUUUCCUGCCGGCGAGUGGCGAACGGGUGAGUAAUACAUCGGAACGUGCCCUGUAGUGGGGGAUAACUAGUCGAAAGAUUAGCUAAUACCGCAUACGACCUGAGGGUGAAAGUGGGGGACCGCAAGGCCUCAUGCUAUAGGAGCGGCCGAUGUCUGAUUAGCUAGUUGGUGGGGUAAAGGCCUACCAAGGCGACGAUCAGUAGCUGGUCUGAGAGGACGAUCAGCCACACUGGGACUGAGACACGGCCCAGACUCCUACGGGAGGCAGCAGUGGGGAAUUUUGGACAAUGGGCGAAAGCCUGAUCCAGCAAUGCCGCGUGUGCGAAGAAGGCCUUCGGGUUGUAAAGCACUUUUGUCCGGAAAGAAAUGGCUCUGGUUAAUACCUGGGGUCAAUGACGGUACCGGAAGAAUAAGGACCGGCUAACUACGUGCCAGCCGCCGCCGUAA